rnacentral:rRNA from 1 species
GAUGAACGCUGGCGGCGUGCCUAAUACAUGCAAGUCGAGCGAACAGACGAGGAGCCUGCUCCUCUGACGUUAGCGGCGGACGGGUGAGUAACACGUGGAUAACCUACCUAUAAGACUGGGAUAACUUCGGGAAACCGGAGCUAAUACCGGAGAAUAUAUUGAACCGCAUGGUUCAAUAGUGAAAGACGGUUUUGCUGUCACUUAUAGAUGGAUCCGCGCCGCAUUAGCUAGUUGGUAAGUAACGGCGUACCAAGGCUACGAUGCGUAGCCGACCUGAGAGGGUGAUCGGCCACACUGGAACUGAGACACGGUCCAGACUCCUACGGGAGGCAGCAGUAGGGAAUCUUACGCAAUGGGCGAAAGCUUGACGGAGCAACGCCGCGUGAGUGAUGAAGGUCUUCGGAUCGUAAAACUCUGUUAUUAGGGAAGAACAAAUGUGUAAGUAACUAUGCACGUCUUGACGGUACCUAAUCAGAAAGCCACGGCUAACUACGUG